rnacentral:lncRNA from 1 species
GAGGAGGAGGUCGGAAAGGCCAUUCGAGAGAAGAUUGCUGAUGGCCCUGUGAAGAGAGAGGACAUUUUCUACACCACUGAGCUUUGGACAACUUUCUUUAGACCAGAAUUAGUUCGCCCAGCCCUGGAAGGGUCACUGAAGAAACUUCAACUGGACUAUGUCGAUCUCUUCAUUAUCCACAAUCCAUUGGCUAUGAAGCCUGGGGAGGAAUUGCUGCCUAAGGAUGCCAGUGGAAACAUUAUUUUUGAUACUGUGGAUCUUCGUGACACAUGGGAGGCCCUGGAGAAGUGCAAAGAAGCAGGUUUAACCAAGUCCAUCGGGGUGUCCAAUUUCAAUCACAAACUGCUGGAACUCAUCCUCAACAAGCCAGGGCUCAAGUACAAGCCCACCUGCAACCAGGAUGGACCCAGAUAGCCCAUAUCUCUUAGAGGAGCCAACCUUGAAAUCCAUUGCCAAGAAAUACAAUAGAAGCCCAGGCCAGGUUGCCCUGUGCUAUGAGCUGCAGCGGGGGGGUGGUGGUCCUGGCCAAGAGCUUCUCUGAGAAGAGAAUCAAAGAGAACUUCCAGGUUUUUGACUUUGAGUUGACUCCAGAGGACAU